GAGGGUAUAGCUCAGUGGUAGAGUGCGUUCUUAGCAUGCACGAGGUCCUGGGUUCAAUCCCCAGUACUUUCA
rfam:Camelus ferus unplaced genomic scaffold scaffold94, whole genome shotgun sequence.